rnacentral:tRNA from 1 species
GUGUCUAUAGCUCAGUUGGAUAGAGCACUCGCCUCCUAAGCGAGGGGUCGCAGGUUCAAUUCCCGCUAGGCACA